UGGGGAAUAUUGCACAAUGGGCGCAAGCCUGAUGCAGCCAUGCCGCGUGUAUGAAGAAGGCCUUCGGGUUGUAAAGUACUUUCAGCGGGGAGGAAGGGAGUAAAGUUAAUACCUUUGCUCAUUGACGUUACCCGCAGAAGAAGCACCGGCUAACUCCGUGCCAGCAGCCGCGGUAAUACGGAGGGUGCAAGCGUUAAUCGGAAUUACUGGGCGUAAAGCGCACGCAGGCGGUUUGUUAAGUCAGAUGUGAAAUCCCCGGGCUCAACCUGGGAACUGCAUCUGAUACUGGCAAGCUUGAGUCUCGUAGAGGGGGGUAGAAUUCCAGGUGUAGCGGUGAAAUGCGUAGAGAUCUGGAGGAAUACCGGUGGCGAAGGCGGCCCCCUGGACAAAGACUGACGCUCAGGUGCGAAGGCGUGGGGAGCAAACAGG
rnacentral:rRNA from 1 species